rnacentral:tRNA from 1 species
GGAAGUGUACCCAAGCUAGGGGUUACCUUGAUAGAGUAAACACGGAAAUAAUCCCACUUCCC